rnacentral:rRNA from 1 species
UACGAAGGGGGCUAGCGUUGCUCGGAAUCACUGGGCGUAAAGCGCACGUAGGCGGAUUGUUAAGUCAGGGGUGAAAUCCUGGAGCUCAACUCCAGAACUGCCUUUGAUACUGGCGAUCUCGAGUUCGGGAGAGGUGAGUGGGACUGCGAGUGUAGAGGUGAAAUUCGUAGAUAUUCGCAAGAACACCAGUGGCGAAGGCGGCUCACUGGCCCGAUACUGACGCUGAGGUGCGAAAGCGUGGGGAGCAACAGGG